rnacentral:rRNA from 1 species
GACGUAGGGGGCGAGCGUUGUCCGGAUUUAUUGGGCGUAAAGGGUGCGUAGGCGGCUUGGUGGGUCUGGUGUGAAAGCCCCGGGCUCAGCCCGGGAAGGGCGCUAGAAACUGCCGAGCUCGAGUGCCGGAGGGGAGAGUGGAAUUCCUGGUGUAGCGGUGAAAUGCGUAGAUAUCAGGAGGAAUACCGGUGGCGAAGGCGGGUCUCUGGGCCGAUACUGACGCUGAGGAGCGAAAGCGUGGGGAGCGAACAGG